rnacentral:rRNA from 1 species
UACGUAGGGUGCGAGCGUUGUCCGGAAUUAUUGGGCGUAAAGAGCUCGUAGGUGGUUUGUUACGUCUGCUGUGAAAACCUAGGGCUUAACCCUGGGCCUGCAGUGGAUACGGGCAGACUAGAGGUAGGUAGGGGCAUGCGGAACUUCCGGUGGAGCGGUGAAAUGCGUAGAUAUCGGAAGGAACGCCGGUGGCGAAAGCGGCGUGCUGGACCUCUUCUGACGCUGAGGCGCGAAAGCCAGGGGAGCGAACGGG